GGUGGUGAUGUCCAGCAGCUCCCACUCCCCCAUGGUGGUCAUGACAUGCUUGGAGUGCUCUGUGAUGUCUUCGGCACCUUUUGCCAAAAAAAGUUGAAUAUCUGACGCUGAGGAGGAGGAAAAAACAGCAGUGGAUAUACUGGAGGUAGGAGUUAAAGGUCAGUGUGCAGUUCUGCACGUCAAAGGGGAAGUUAUAAAUAUCAAGGUUACAGGAGCUGACAACUUUGGCCGGCUGAGCGUCACGAACUGUGCCAUCGCUGUGUAUGUAAAUGUACGGAACAUAAGGUGCUGUGUUUUCAUCCAUGCUGUGGACAAAGACAGAACAGAACAAAAUGUUACCAACGGGGAGUUCAGUUUUAAGAACAGGCUGGAAAUUUUCACAGAAAAUAUUAUACUCACAACUCAUUGAUGACAAUAUCCGGCAUCCAAAAUUUAUCUCUGGGCAGAGCAAUUUUGUCGGUACCACACUGGUCUGGAUCCCAGCUGAUGAACUCAUUCACCCACCACUGCAACAACAGCGUUGUUAUGACUGCUAUGACAACUAUAACAGGGUGAGUCAAAAAGGUCAAAGCUAUUUCUCUACAAAUACUGAAUUUAAGUCUAAAUACUCUUGCAAGCAGAGUUUCCAUCGAUAAUGUUUUUGUGGAAUGUGGAGGAUGUGUCUGGUACACGAAACGCCAGAAAUAAACAAACCAGUUUUUCUGCCUUGUCCAGGAA